rnacentral:rRNA from 1 species
AUGAACGCUGGCGGCGUGCCUAAUACAUGCAAGUCGAGCGAACGGACGAGAAGCUUGCUUUUCUGAUGUUCGCGGCGGACGGGUGAGUAACACGUGGAUAACCUACCUAUAAGACUGGGAUAACUUCGGGAAACCGGAGCUAAUACCGGAUAAUAUUUUGAACCGCAUGGUUCAAAAGUGAAAGACGGUCUUGCUGUCACUUAUAGAUGGAUCCGCGCUGCAUUAGCUAGUUGGUAAGGUAACGGCUUACCAAGGCAACGAUGCAUAGCCGACCUGAGAGGGUGAUCGGCCACACUGGAACUGAGACACGGUCCAGACUCCUACGGGAGGCAGCAGUAGGGAAUCUUCCGCAAUGGGCGAAAGCCUGACGGAGCAACGCCGCGUGAGUGAUGAAGGUCUUCGGAUCGUAAAACUCUGUUAUUAGGGAAGAACAUAUGUGUAAGUAACUGUGCACAUCUUGACGGUACCUAAUCAGAAAGCCACGGCUAACUACGUG